GAUGAACGCUGGCGGCGUGCCUAAUACAUGCAAGUCGAGCGAACAGACGAGGAGCUUUCUCCUUCGACGUUAGCGGCGGACGGGUGAGUAACACGUAGGUAACCUACCUAUAAGACUGGGAUAACUUCGGGAAACCGGAGCUAAUACCGGAUAAUAUUUCGAACCGCAUGGUUCGAUAGUGAAAGAUGGCUUUGCUAUCACUUAUAGAUGGACCUGCGCCGUAUUAGCUAGUUGGUAAGGUAACGGCUUACCAAGGCAACGAUACGUAGCCGACCUGAGAGGGUGAUCAGCCACACUGGAACUGAGACACGGUCCAGACUCCUACGGGAGGCAGCAGUAGGGAAUCUUCCGCAAUGGGCGAAAGCCUGACGGAGCAACGCCGCGUGAGUGAUGAAGGUCUUCGGAUCGUAAAACUCUGUUAUUAGGAAAGAACAAACGUGUAAGUAACUGUGCACGUCUUGACGGUACCUAAUCAGAAAGCCACGGCUAACUACGUG
rnacentral:rRNA from 1 species